UCCGCCUUGGUGUAAUGGCAGCACAGAGGUCUUUGGAACCUUUAGUCCAGGUUCGAGCCCUGGAGGCGGAG
rnacentral:tRNA from 1 species